rnacentral:rRNA from 1 species
GCGAACGGGUGAGUAACGCGUGGGCAACCUGCCCGGAAGUUGGGGAUAGCCCGCCGAAAGGCGGAUUAAUACCGAAUGUGGCUAUUUGGCACCUGCCGAAGACGCCAAAGUCGGCGCAAGCUGACGCUUCCGGAUGGGCCCGCGGCCUAUCAGCUAGUUGGUGAGGUAACGGCUCACCAAGGCAUUGACGGGUAGCUGGUCUGAGAGGACGACCAGCCACACUGGGACUGAGACACGGCCCAGACACCUACGGGUGGCAGCAGUCGAGAAUCUUUCUCAAUGGGGGAAACCCUGAAGGAGCGACGCCGCGUGGAGGAUGAAGGUCUUCGGAUCGUAAACUUCUGUCAUGCGGGAGCAAGGUCCGCCGGUUAACUGCCGGUGGGAUUGAUAGUACUGCAAGAGGAAGAGACGGCUAACUCUGUGCCAGCAGCCGCGGUAAUACAGAGGUCUCAAGCGUUGUUCGGAUUCAUUGGGCGUAAAGGGUGCGUAGGCGGCGAACUAAGUCAGGUGUGAAAUCUCCGGGCUCAACCCGGAAAUUGCAUUUGAUAC